ACAUAAACACAAAAGAUGAUCAGCCUUUUUUAAACAAAACUCAUUGAGAAGAAUGGGCUGUAAUCAGUCAAAGGUUGACGACGAUGAGAAAGCUGUGGAAUAUGUCGAUUAUUGUUGAAUUCUGAUUUUUCUGAAAAAUGGGCGUGUCGUUUAGUGGUAGAAAACCAAAACUUGUCAAUCAAAGAACAUCUGAUUUGGAUAUUUUUAAACAUACAGAUGAUUUGGUGGUUUACGAUCUUGAGGAAGAAAAUGAAACAGAUAAUUUCGCGAAUCAUAAAGACGUAGUAGAAUGUCCACCAAGGUAUCCGACAGCAUUAGCACCUACAGCUAGAAGAAAGGAUGUAUCAUAUUUAGAAAAAUACAAAGAAGCAACAGAGAGA